GAUGAACGCUGGCGGCGUGCCUAAUACAUGCAAGUCGAGCGAACAGACGAGGAGCUUGCUCCUCUGACGUUAGCGGCGGACGGGUGAGUAACACGUGGAUAACCUACCUAUAAGACUGGGAUAACUUCGGGAAACCGGAGCUAAUACCGGAUAAUAUAUUGAACCGCAUGGUUCAAUAGUGAAAGACGGUUUUGCUGUCACUUAUAGAUGGAUCCGCGCCGCAUUAGCUAGUUGGUAAGGUAACGGCUUACCAAGGCAACGAUGCGUAGCCGACCUGAGAGGGUGAUCGGCCACACGGGAACUGAGACACGGUCCAGACGCCUACGGGAGGCAGCAGUAGGGAAUCUUCCGCAAUGGGCGAAAGCCUGACGGAGCAACGCCGCGUGAGUGAGGAAGGUCUUCGGAUCGGAAAACUCUGUUAUUAGGGAAGAACAAAUGUGUAAGUAACUAUGCACGUCUUGACGGUACCUGAUCAGAGAGCCACGGCUAACUACGUG
rnacentral:rRNA from 1 species